AGCGCUCAGUCAUCAGUCAGUUAUCCAGAGAAAGAUCUGAUCGCGACAGCCACAACAACAUAAACCCAAAAUGUUUUCCUUCACCAAAAGUUCAUUCAUUGUUUUGCUGAUGGCAUACCAUACGAUUUUAUCAGUUUCAGCGCCGCUACCCCAACUGGGCCAGGAGGAAAUUUGUGGCAUCCCGGACCAACCCGUUCGCUGCAGUUGUGUUGGUGAUAAAUGUGAGCCCACAUUUCUGAGAGCAAUUCCGAAACCGUUGGUAGAAACUGUCCAAGAAAAUGCUAGUACUGCACGAAAAACUGGAACGAUGGUUUUGAAUUAAAUUUUUUCCCAUCAAUUUGUAUCUGAAUAUAAUGAAAAGUAAAUGUCCUUUCCAAAUAAUUGAUUACCUCAAAA